AUCCAGCUGACGAAUCCAAAAUGGGACGAAACGCGCGUCCUGGAU
rfam:Schistosoma mansoni, Puerto Rico, WGS project CABG01000000 data, contig: 0268